GGCUUCUCCUUUUUUAAAGGUCUCCAGCGUACCAGGAUUUGUGAAGGCCUGAAGUUCGUAGAAUGAAAUCUAUGUGGAGAUGAUUUAAAAGAACGGUUUCACUGCUAAAAUCCUUUCGAAAUGAGUUCCUUUAAUUUCUUCAGUAACUAAAUCCUCCAGAAAGGAAAGCCGAGAGAAUCUAGUCCUAUACAAUAACACCCUCUAACAAAGAUCGCUAAAGGAAGAUUUUAGUAGAUGAAUAUCUUCAAUAAUACAUGGUCACAUACAUGUAUCUGACCAUAUGAUGGCUCUCUGCACCAAAUUCCUCCAAACUAUUAUAAUAUGUAUUGUCUGUAGUGCUAUUUAUUUGGAAGUUAAUCAUGUAUUACAUUGUGACAUUUCUUACAGUGAACCAUUAUGUAUGUGUUUAUGUUCUGCCCUCAACUACUCAAUGCCAGUACCUUAUUCUUAACACAGCAGCCACCCUUUCUGAUCUGUCCUCACACCCUCAUUCCCAUCAUAGUUAUUCUCCUCUCUCAUGGAAAUGUUCAGUUUCUGGACAUCUCCUUUCUCUUCCAUUCUUCACCUGACCUUCCUUCCUUUCUUGGCCAGCCUGAAUAUUAUAAAGGGAAUUUUAUUUCAAACCCAGGAUCACACUUAAGAGGAAAAGAAACAAAAGCCAGUUCUUUUUAUUGCACAUAGAACAAGGAGAAACUCCACCCCUUUUGUUGUCUGGUAUGUUUAAAACAAGAAAGAACUUUAGAAAAGUAGGAUAU
rnacentral:antisense_RNA from 1 species